rnacentral:rRNA from 1 species
AUACGGAGGAUCCGAGCGUUAUCCGGAUUUAUUGGGUUUAAAGGGAGCGUAGGCGGACGCUUAAGUCAGUUGUGAAAGUUUGCGGCUCAACCGUAAAAUUGCAGUUGAUACUGGGUGUCUUGAGUACAGUAGAGGCAGGCGGAAUUCGUGGUGUAGCGGUGAAAUGCUUAGAUAUCACGAAGAACUCCGAUUGCGAAGGCAGCCUGCUGGACUGUAACUGACGCUGAUGCUCGAAAGUGUGGGUAUCAAACAGGAUUAGAUACCCUGGUAGUCCACACAGUAAACGAUGAAUACUCGCUGUUUGCGAUAUACAGUAAGCGGCCAAGCGAAAGCGUUAAGUAUUCCACCUGGGGAGUACGCCGGCAACGGUGAAACUCAAAGGAAUUGACGGGG